UUACGACCAGAUCACGUUGAAAUACCAGUUCCUGUACGAUGACCAAAAUUAAGCAACGUCGAGCCUGGUCAGUUCCUAGAUGGGUAAUCGCUUGGGAAUAUCACGUGCUGUAAG